UACGUAGGGGGGCAAGCGUUGUCCGGAAUCAUUGGGCGUAAAGAGCGUGUAGGCGGCUUGGUAAGUCCGCUGUGAAAGUCCAGGGCUCAACCCUGGAAUACCGGUGGAAACUGUCAAGCUUGAGUCCGGAAGAGGCGAGUGGAAUUCCUGGUGUAGCGGUGAAAUGCGCAGAUAUCAGGAGGAACACCAAUGGCGAAGGCAGCUCGCUGGGACGGUACUGACGCUGAGACGCGAAAGCGUGGGGAGCAAACAGG
rnacentral:rRNA from 1 species